GUUAGGAAUAUUGGACAAUGGGGGGAACCCUGAUCCAGCCAUGCCGCGUGUGUGAAGAAGGCCUUUUGGUUGUAAAGCACUUUAAGCGAGGAGGAGGCUACCGAGAUUAAUACUCUUGGAUAGUGGACGUUACUCGCAGAAUAAGCACCGGCUAACUCUGUGCCAGCAGCCGCGGUAAUACAGAGGGUGCAAGCGUUAAUCGGAUUUACUGGGCGUAAAGCGCGCGUAGGUGGCCAAUUAAGUCAAAUGUGAAAUCCCCGAGCUUAACUUGGGAAUUGCAUUCGAUACUGGUUGGCUAGAGUAUGGGAGAGGAUGGUAGAAUUCCAGGUGUAGCGGUGAAAUGCGUAGAGAUCUGGAGGAAUACCGAUGGCGAAGGCAGCCAUCUGGCCUAAUACUGACACUGAGGUGCGAAAGCAUGGGGAGCAAACAGGAUUAGAAACCCUUGUAGUCC
rnacentral:rRNA from 1 species